UACGAAGGGGGCUAGCGUUGUUCGGAAUUACUGGGCGUAAAGCGCGCGUAGGCGGUGAUCCAUGUCAGAGGUGAAAGCCCGGGGCUCAACUCCGGAAUUGCCUUUGAAACGGGAUCGCUAGAGUCCGAGAGAGGAUGGCGGAAUUCCUAGUGUAGAGGUGAAAUUCGUAGAUAUUAGGAAGAACACCGGUGGCGAAGGCGGCCAUCUGGCUCGGUACUGACGCUCAGGCGCGAAAGCGUGGGGAGCAAACAGGAUUAGAAA
rnacentral:rRNA from 1 species